UACGAAGGUCCCAAGCGUUAUCCGGAUUUAUUGGGUUUAAAGGGUGCGUAGGCGGGCUAUUAAGUCAGUGGUGAAAGCCCCAAGCUUAACUUGGGAACUGCCAUUGAUACUGAUGGUCUUGAGUACAUUUGAGGUGGGCGGAAUGUGUCAUGUAGCGGUGAAAUACUUAGAUAUGACACAGAACUCCGAUUGCGAAGGCAGCUCACUAAACUGUAACUGACGCUGAGGCACGAAAGCGUGGGGAUCAAACAGG
rnacentral:rRNA from 1 species